rnacentral:rRNA from 1 species
CCUACGGGAGGCAGCAGUGGGGAAUAUUGCACAAUGGGGGAAACCCUGAUGCAGCAACGCCGCGUGAGUGAAGAAGUAUUUCGGUAUGUAAAGCUCUAUCAGCAGGGAAGAAAAUGACAGUACCUGACUAAGAAGCCCCGGCUAACUACGUGCCAGCAGCCGCGGUAAUACGUAGGGGGCAAGCGUUAUCCGGAUUUACUGGGUGGAAAGGGAGCGUAGACGGCUGCGCAAGUCAGAAGUGAAAGCCCGGGGCUCAACCGCGGGACUGCUUUUGAAACUGUGUAGCUAGAGUGCAGGAGAGGUAAGUGGAAUUCCUAGUGUAGCGGUGAAAUGCGUAGAUAUUAGGAGGAACACCGGUGGCGAAGGCGGCUUACUGGACUGUAACUGACGUUGAGGCUCGAAAGCGUGGGGAGCAAACAGGAUUAGAUACCCGUGUAGUC